CUUACCUGGGCUUGAACUCCAGUGGACCGGUGCAGAGAUGUGCCUUCUCCCAAGAACUGUUGCAGAGGUGCUGCAUGGCUGUCGUCAGCUCGUGUCUUGGGAUGUUGGGUUAAGUCCCGCAACGAGCGCAACCCUUUCCUCUAGUUGCCAGCGGUUCGGCCGGGAACUCUAGAGGGACUGCCCGGGUUAACCGGGAGGAAGGUGGGGAUGAUGUCAAGUCCUCAUGGCCCUUAUGUCCAGGGCUACACACGUGUUACAAUGGGCGGUACAAACCGUUGCAAAGUCGCGAGGGGGAGCCAAUUGGAAAAAGUCGGCCUCAGUUCGGAUUGCAGUUUGCAAUUCGCCUCCAGAAGGGGAAUCGUUAGU
rnacentral:rRNA from 1 species